rnacentral:rRNA from 1 species
AACGAACGCUGGCGGCAUGCCUAACACAUGCAAGUCGAACGAGACCUUCGGGUCUAGUGGCGCACGGGUGCGUAACACGUGGGAAUUUGCCUCGGGGUAUGGAAUAACUCAGGGAAACUUGAGCUAAUACCAUAUAAUGUCUUCGGACCAAAGAUUUAUCGCCCUGAGAUAAGCCCGCGUAGGAUUAGCUAGUUGGUGGGGUAAAGGCUCACCAAGGCGACGAUCCUUAGCUGGUCUGAGAGGAUGAUCAGCCACACUGGGACUGAGACACGGCCCAGACUCCUACGGGAGGCGAGCAAGUGGGGAAUAUUGGACAAUGGG